rnacentral:rRNA from 1 species
UACGUAGGGCGCAAGCGUUGUCCGGAAUUAUUGGGCGUAAAGAGCUCGUAGGCGGUCUGUCGCGUCUGCCGUGAAAACCCGAGGCUUAACCUCGGGCUGGCGGUGGAUACGGGCAGACUAGAGGUAGGUAGGGGAGAAUGGAAUUCCCGGUGUAGCGGUGAAAUGCGCAGAUAUCGGGAGGAACACCGGUGGCGAAGGCGGCAUCCUGGACCAACACUGACGCUGAGGAGCGAAAGCCAGGGGAGCAAACGGG